UGGGCGAAAGCCUGAUGCAGCAACGCCGCGUGAGCGAUGAAGGUCUUCGGAUCGUAAAGCUCUGUCCUCAAGGAAGAAUAUUGACGGUACUUGAGGAGGAAGCCCCGGCUAACUACGUACCAGCAGCCGCGGUAAUACGUAGGGGGCUAGCGUUAUCCGGAAUUACUGGGCGUAAAGGGUGCGUAGGCGGUCUUGCAAGUCAGAGGUGAAAGGCUACGGCUCAACCGUAGUAAGCCUUUGAAACUGUAGGACUUGAGUGCAGGAGAGGAAAGUGGAAUUCCCAGUGUAGCGGUGAAAUGCGUAGAUAUUGGGAGGAACACCAGUUGCGAAGGCGGCUUUCUGGACUGUAACUGACGCUGAGGCACGAAAGCGUGGGGAGCGAACAGGAUUAGAUACCCUGGUAGUCCACGCCGUAAACGAUGAGUACUAGGUGUCGGGGGUUACCCCCCUCGGUGCCGCAGCUAACGCAUUAAGUACUCCGCCUGGGAAGUAC
rnacentral:rRNA from 1 species